GGCAUUCAAAGAGAGACAGCUGCUUGCCAUUAUUUUGGUUAAAAAAUGAUUUAGAAAAGUCUGUGCGUUGAAAAAAGCACGGGUUGAAAAGGUAGCCUUGAUGGGUUAAAAUGGGUAGCCCUGAUGGGUUAAAAAGGUAGCCCUUACGGGUUAAAAAUGUAUGAUAGUUUUUGGAAGAUUUCACAGAUCCCUUAAGAUCAAUGAAGCUCU
rnacentral:lncRNA from 1 species